rnacentral:rRNA from 2 species
CUGAAAUCAGAUGGGACUACCCGCUGA